CUUGCCAAAUCCCUAAAUCCCUAUUGCCCAUCUCUCAAGCAUACUGCAGCUUUCACGGACUCCCUAAACGUUGCCGCCGUCGCAUCCUUGCUCCCUCAACGUCGCCGCCGUCGCAUCUUUGUUGCCUUAACGUCCGCCUCCGCCACAUCCUUAUUGCCUGAACGCCGACAUCGCCUUGUCCUUGCUGCCUGAACGGCUUCGCCGCCACGUCCUUGCUACCUCAACGUCGCCGCCGCCUCAGAAUAGUUCGCAACCGUCUUGCCGCCUCUGUUGAAUCGUCUCUGCCACCUCACAAGGUGGUUCCAUUGAAUUGUAGUUGGUAAAAAAAUAACUUCUGCUUGAUGUUGUGGUCAACUGUUUGCGGCUUGCUCCUUGGAGGUAUAACGGGCUACAAAGAAUGCAUGGAAGUUCUGAAUUUGAUGCUAAUCUUCUUGGCCAUGUUCAUCUUAAUAAGGCACAGUUCGAAGGCUUGCAUAUGUGCUUGCAAGAGGCUUGUGAGAAAUGCCAAGAAACUAUGGAUUCAUUUCGGAAGAAAAAGAAAGUUGGUCAUCUCUUCAAGAGAUUAAAAAUAUCUACAUGAUUCUAACUCUUCCAAAAGAGUAAGAGGGCCCACAUGAGGUAAGGAGCUUGAGAAACUACUCAAGGUGAAUGUGAAGAUGGUAAUCGAUAUACCGCUUGGAAAAGAAAGACCAAUUUGUGAGGUUCAGUUUGCAAAACUAUCAUCGAAGCUUGGACUCAUCUCUCAACAAUUCGUACCAAUACCAGAAAAGCAAAAAAUUUUUAUUGAGGAUGAGAAAAGGCAUGCAUUUGAAAGACUUGAAGUAAGUAAUGGUUUUGUAUGAAAAGCUAUUUUUGUUUAAGCUAUUUCACCUAUGAAAAUUAAUUGUUUGCUACAUGUCUUAAUCAUUUUAGAAUAUGUUUCAAAUUCAAAUGGAUGAUGAAUAUGUGACCGCAAUACAAUUACCAUUGUGAUUGAUUUCAAGUUCAAAUAAAUCGCACACACAAUCAAUUGAAG